AUUGAACGCUGGCGGCAUGCUUUACACAUGCAAGUCGAACGGCAGCGCGGGCUUCGGCCUGGCGGCGAGUGGCGAACGGGUGAGUAAUGCAUCGGAACGUGCCCAGUAGUGGGGGAUAGCCCGGCGAAAGCCGGAUUAAUACCGCAUACGACCUGAGGGUGAAAGCGGGGGACCGAAAGGCCUCGCGCUAUUGGAGCGGCCGAUGUCGGAUUAGCUAGUUGGUGGGGUAAAGGCUUACCAAGGCGACGAUCUGUAGCUGGUCUGAGAGGACGACCAGCCACACUGGGACUGAGGCACGGCCCAGACUCCUACGGGAGGCAGCAGUGGGGAAUUUUGGACAAUGGGGGCAACCCUGAUCCAGCCAUGCCGCGUGCGGGAAGAAGGCCUUCGGGUUGUAAACCGCUUUUGUUCGGGAAGAAAUCCUCUGGGCUAAUACCCCGGGGGGAUGACGGUACCGGAAGAAUAAGCACCGGCUAACUACGUG
rnacentral:rRNA from 1 species